GAUGAACGCUGGCGGCGUGCCUAAUACAUGCAAGUCGAGCGAACAGAUGAGGAGCUUGCUCCCCUGACGUUAGCGGCGGACGGGUGAGUAACACGUGGAUAACCUACCUAUAAGACUGGGAUAACUUCGGGAAACCGGAGCCAAUACCGGAUAAUAUAUUGAACCGGAUGGUUCAAUAGUGAAAGCCGGUUUUGCUGGCACUUUUAGAUGGAUCCGCGCCGCAUUAGCUAGUUGGUAAGGUAACGGCUUACCAAGGCAACGAUGCGUAGCCGACCUGAGAGGAUGAUCAGCCACACUGGAACUGAGACACGGUCCAGACUCCUACGGGAGGCAGCAGUAGGGAAUCUUCCACAAUGGGCGAAAGCCUGACGGAGCAACGCCGCGUGAGUGAUGAAGGUCUUCGGAUCGUAAAACUCUGUUAGUAGGGAAGAACAAAAGUGUAAGUAACUAUGCACGCGUUGACGGUACCUAAACAGAAAGCCACGGCUAACUACGUG
rnacentral:rRNA from 1 species